rnacentral:rRNA from 1 species
CUACGGGUCGCUGCAGUGGGGAAUAUUGGACAAUGGGGGAAACCCUGAUCCAGCAAUGCCGCGUGUGUGAAGAAGGCCUGCGGGUUGUAAAGCACUUUCGGUUGGGAGGACUGCUUCUAGCACUAAUAUUGUUGGAAGUUGACGUUACCUUCAGAAGAAGCACCGGCUAACUCCGUGCCAGCAGCCGCGGUAAUACGGGGGGUGCAAGCGUUAAUCGGAAUUACUGGGCGUAAAGCGCGCGUAGGCGGCUAGAUCAGUCGGGGGUGAAAGCCCCGGGCUUAACCUGGGAACUGCAUCCGAUACUGUCUAGCUUGAGUACAGGAGAGGAGAGUGGAAUUCCACAUGUAGCGGUGAAAUGCGUAGAUAUGUGGAGGAACACCAAUGGCGAAGGCAGCUCUCUGGCCUGAUACUGACGCUGAGGUGCGAAAGCGUGGGGAGCAAACAGGAUUAGAUACCCCUGUAGUC